rnacentral:rRNA from 1 species
GUGGAUUAGAUACUCGAGUAGUCCACGCCGUAAACUAUGGAUGCUAGCUGUUAGAAGUAUCGACCCUUCUAGUAGCGAAGCUAACGCGUUAAGCAUCCCGCCUGUGGAGUACGGUCGCAAGACUAAAACAUAAAGGAAUUGACGGGGACCCGCACAAGCGGUGGAGCGUGUUGUUUAAUUCGAUGGUAAGCGAAGAACCUUACCCAGGCUUGACAUCCUGCGAAUUUUUUCGAAAGAAAAAAGUGCUUUAUUGAGCGCAGUGACAGGUGUUGCACGGCCGUCGACAGCU